rnacentral:rRNA from 1 species
AUUGAACGCUGGCGGCAGGCCUAACACAUGCAAGUCGAGCGGAUGAAGGGAGCUUGCUCCUGGAUUCAGCGGCGGACGGGUGAGUAAUGCCUAGGAAUCUGCCUGGUAGUGGGGGAUAACGUCCGGAAACGGGCGCUAAUACCGCAUACGUCCUGAGGGAGAAAGUGGGGGAUCUUCGGACCUCACGCUAUCAGAUGAGCCUAGGUCGGAUUAGCUAGUUGGUGGGGUAACGGCCUACCAAGGCGACGAUCCGUAACUGGUCUGAGAGGAUGAUCAGUCACACUGGAACUGAGACACGGUACAGACUCCUACGGGAGGAAGCAGUGGGGAAUAUUGGACAAAGGGCGAAAGCCUGAUCAAGCCAUGCCGGGUGGGGGAAGAAGGUCUUCGGAUUGUAAAGCACUUUAAGUUGGGAGGAAGGGAAGUAAGUUAAUACCUGGCUGUUUUGACGGUACCAACAGAAUAAGCACCGGCUAACUUCGUG